ensembl:misc_RNA Metazoa_SRP Metazoan signal recognition particle RNA
GCCAGGUGUUGUGGCGGGCACCUGUGGUCCCAGCUACUUGGGAGGCAGAGGCAGGAGACUCGCUGGAGCCCAGGAGUUGGAGGUUGCUGUGAGCGUGAUGCCAUGGCACUCUACCCAGGGGGGAUAGCUUGAGGCUCCAUCUCAAAAAAAAAAAGAAAUCUCAGACAUGAGACAAUACAGUGCAGCAGAUAGCAUUAGAGAGAGGAAAGGUUAAAAAACAAGUACGUCUUCUUUUUUUUUUUUUUUGAGAUGGAGCCUCAAGCUAUCCCCCUGGGUAGAGUGCCGUGGCAUCACAGCUCACAGCAACCUCCAAC